rnacentral:rRNA from 1 species
GAGGUAUUUUGACUGUGCUAAGGUAGCGAAGUCAUUUGUUUCUUUAUUGGGAACUUGUAUGAGUGGAGUAAUAGGUGCUUUUAUGAAUUGAGCUUAAAGUGAAUUUGAUUUUUCUAAGAAAAGUUAGAAGCUUUCCUAAAGACGAGAAGACCCCAAAAUCUUUAUUUUAAUUUAUAGGAUUUAAUUUUUAUUUGGGGGAAAGAUUGAUUUUUAUUUAUUGUUUUAUUAUUGCGAACUUUUUUAGGGUGUAUGGAUAGAUACUUUGGGGGUAACAGGAUUAUUUUCUUUUGAAGUUCUUAUUUUAGGGGAAGUUUAUUACCUCGAUGUUGGCUUUUGA